rnacentral:misc_RNA from 1 species
ACAGCAGUACAAAACGAAAUAACUACAUAAUAAGUCAAAGUAUUAGAUCAACAAACAGCCUUAUAAAUAUAUGAUUGAACAAAUUGCUAGAAAUUUAUUGAAUUCAUGAUAACAUCACUAAAAAUUACACGUCUAUAUGCAAGCCUCUAGGAUCUAGAGUUCAAAUUGCAUCACUAUUUUAGAUCACAAAGAUCAUAAGGGGAAAAAGAGGAAGAAGGACA